GAAAAGAUGGAAAAGGAUGGCUUCGACGCAUUUAAUGUUUUGAUGAACUUAGUUCUUUACAUGUUUGUUCAUUUAUGAAUCACUCUGACUUUAGAGACAUGAGGACCUAUAUAUUACUUUACACAGUCUUUCCCUAAAUUAUUAAUAACAUGUAGUAAUUAGGUUGCAUUUCCUUCAGCACUCAGGAGAAAUGUGUUUCACCUAAUGUUUUCCUUUUUUUUUGUCUUUUCUAGGGCUGCACCCAUGGCAUAUGGAGGUUCCCAGGCUAGGGGUUGAAUCAGAGCUGUAGCCGCUGGCCUACGCCACAGCCACAGCAAUAGUAACGUGGGAUCCGAGCUGCAUCUGCAACCCACACCACUGCUUACGGCAACGCAGGAUCCUUAACCCACUGAGCGAGGCCAGGGAUAGAACCCACAACCUCAUGGUUCCUAGUCGGGUUUGUUAACCACUGAGCCACAGUAGGAACUCCUCAUCUCAUGUUUUCAUCGGUAGUUUAUACAGCUUCUGGUCAUUGUGAUCUGUCUGUUCUUUGAUUCACAAAUGCUUUAAUAUAUUUGUAACAAGUACACAUACCAUGUUUUAUAAAGUAAUGAAAUGCAAUAUGCAUAAUUAGAGUUCUAGAAAUAAUUCAGGUGAGUUUUAAUUCCUGAUCUUUCAUUUCUUAAUUUUUCCAUGUUAAUAGAGACCUAAAUUAUAUUUUGUACAUACUGAAAUUCAUAGAUAUUUUCUUAUAUUUAUAAAUUGCUAUGCAUAUAUAUAAUUGCUUUAUUAUUUGCUCAAACAGGACCAUGGUAUGUAUGAAAUCUCUAUUAAAUCUCUUUUUUUGGUCAUUUUUCUCCACUUGUAUGUGGCACACCCAGUCAAGUCUGGGAAAUGAGGGCUGGCAAGUGCACCUCCAGAGAUGUCAGCGUGAUCACUGUCGUUUGAGGCGUCUGCAAGGGAUGUGUGAUGGUGUGAUGAGAAUGAAAUCAAGGUAUUACAGUUAUUCUUUGCAGGGAGGAGCAGGGAGGGAAAAAAAAGCCAUCUUGUCCGCACCUGGAGUCUCCUCAUUUACUGUUACUGUAUUGGCUGGGUAUGAGUACCUCAAGCCCUACACACCCGACUGAGAACUUCCGUUUCUGUAACCCUUUUUACUGGAAAAUAGGAAAAUCUUCCCAGGUGAGCAUAUGCUUGAAUCCUAGCAAAUGCCUCCAUGUUAUUUCAUGGUGUAGCUAGCAUAAAGUCUAACCAGUCUUUUGGAAUUGAACUCAUAAGUGUAUUUUUAACCCUUUCACAUUUCUUUUUCAACUUUUUUUUUGGCGGGGGAGUACUCCCAUGGGAUGUGGAAGUUCCCAGGCCAGGGAUAAAACCCCGUACCCCAGCUGUGACAGUGCUAGGUCCUUUAACUACUAGGCCACCAGGAAACUCCUUAAAUUGAAAUUUUAAACCUG
rnacentral:lncRNA from 1 species